AUGUGGCAGAGCUUCCAGAAGAAAU
rnacentral:piRNA from 1 species